rnacentral:rRNA from 1 species
UACGUAGGGUGCAAGCGUUAAUCGGAAUUACUGGGCGUAAAGCGUGCGCAGGCGGCUCUGCAAGACAGAUGUGAAAUCCCCAGGCUCAACCUGGGAACUGCGUCCGAUACUGGAUGGCUUGAAUCCGGGAGAGGGAUGCAGAAUUCCAGGUGUAGCGGUGAAAUGCGUAGAUAUCAGGAGGAACACCGAUGGCGAAGGCAGCUCGCUGGGACGUGACUGACGCUGAGACGCGAAAGCGUGGGGAGCGAACAGG